GGGCCCGCACAAGCGGAGGAGCAUGUGGUUUAAUUCGAUGAUACGCGAGGAACCUUACCCGGGCUUGAACGUAAGACGAAUAUAGUGGAAACAUUAUAGCCUACGGGCGUCUUGCGAGGUGCUGCAUGGUUGUCGUCAGCUCGUGCCGUGAGGUGUUAGGUUAAGUCCUGCAACGAGCGCAACCCUUACACAUAGUUGCCAGCAUGUUAAGAUGGGGACUCUAUGUGAACUGCCUACGCAAGUAGAGAGGAAGGUGGGGAUGACGUCAAAUCAGCACGGCCCUUAUGUUCGGGGCUACACACGUGCUACAAUGGCAUGUACAGAGGGCAGCCACCAUGCGAAUGGGAGCCAAUCCUCAAAACAUGUCUCAGUUCGGAUUGGAGUCUGUAACUCGACUCUAUGAAGUUGGAUUCGCUAGUAAUCGCGCAUCAGCCAUGGCGCGGUGAAUACGUUCCCGGGCCUU
rnacentral:rRNA from 1 species